UACGUAGGGGGCAAGCGUUGUCCGGAAUUAUUGGGCGUAAAGCGCACGUAGGCGGAUUGUUAAGUCGGGGGUGAAAUCCUGGAGCUCAACUCCAGAACUGCCUUCGAUACUGGCGAUCUAGAGUCCGGGAGAGGUGAGUGGAACUGCGAGUGUAGAGGUGAAAUUCGUAGAUAUUCGCAAGAACACCAGUGGCGAAGGCGGCUCACUGGCCCGGUACUGACGCUGACGGUGCGAAAGCGUGGGGAGCAACAGG
rnacentral:rRNA from 1 species